rnacentral:rRNA from 1 species
AGUGAACGCUGGCGGUGGGCCUAACACAUGCAAGUCGAACGGCAGCACAGUAAGAGCUUGCUCGUACGGGUGGCGAGUGGCGGACGGGUGAGGAAUACAUCGGAAUCUACUUUUUCGUGGGGGAUAACGUAGGGAAACUUACGCUAAUACCGCAUACGACCUACGGGUGAAAGCAGGGGAUCUUCGGACCUUGCGCGAUUGAAUGAGCCGAUGUCGGAUUAGCUAGUUGGCGGGGUAAAGGCCCACCAAGGCGACGAUCCGUAGCUGGUCUGAGAGGAUGAUCAGCCACACUGGAACUGAGACACGGUCCAGACUCCUACGGGAGGCAGCAGUGGGGAAUAUUGGACAAUGGGCGCAAGCCUGAUCCAGCCAUACCGCGUGGGUGAAGAAGGCCUUCGGGUUGUAAAGCCCUUUUGUUGGGAAAGAAAAGCAGCAGGUUAAUACCCCGCUGUUCUGACGGUACCCAAAGAAUAAGCACCGGCUAACUUCGUG